rnacentral:lncRNA from 1 species
AUCCCGGGCUGCUCGGUUUAGUGAGGGUCUCCCCCUCCUCAUCUCUUUGCACCUGCGAUCCAGGGAAGUCAAUGAAUAGUUCCGUUUUAUCAUUUAUUAGGCUUUAAUGCCGUGAUAGGAAAUAGGGUGAGAGAUCCUUACUUGUUUUGGAGUCUGAAAUCGGGUUCUCACUGCGCCUACGGGCAGUCCCUAGAUUCCUUAAAUUUUUUUCAGAAAUUGAAACACACUUUCCGUACCUACACAUGUCCCCAAAAAAUCUCAAAUCAGACCCAGGGCCCUUUCGGCCAAUUACAGAAAACUGAGGCUUAUCAGCGACGGGGCUCUCGGGUGCGUCGGCUCCUCCGGCGCGAGUUGCAGUUUGGUGUUUUGCU